AUUUUAUUAGCUUAAGGAAAGCAUAGAAUUGUAAAUUCUACGAUGAGAGAUCAU
rnacentral:tRNA from 1 species